rnacentral:rRNA from 1 species
UACGAGUGCCCCAAGCGUUAUCCGGAAUUAUUGGGCGUAAAGGGUGUGUAGGUGGUCCUGUUAGUCUUCUGUUAAAGCUCCCGGCUUAACCGGGAAAGUGCAGAGGAAACGGCAGGACUAGAGGAUGUGAGAGGUUUGCGGAACUCAUGGUGUAGGGGUGAAAUCCGUUGAUAUCAUGGGGAACACCGAAAGCGAAGGCAGCAAACUGGCGCAUUCCUGACACUGAAACACGAAAGCGUGGGUAGCGAAUGGG